UGUAACAUAACUUUCUAGGAAUAGGUCCAUUAGGUCUUUUUAAAAAAUCACACAUGAAUCAAAAUUGUGACUUCUGUUUUAAUAUAUAAGAUUACCCUUGUUUCAGAAAAAAAAAAGAAAGUUAUGUUUUAGUUCAUAUACAAAUUUCUCCCCAAUUGUUUUGAUGAAAAAUGUUUUUAUGAUUUUUAUGUUAUUUAUUAUAUGUACACUCAAAGAUACGAUAUAAUACGUACAAAUAUGAAGCAUCAGCAGGAACAGAUUGUGGUUUUAUAUUAUGAAUAGUAUAUCAAUAAAAUCUCAUCCACAUUCGAAGGGGCGUCCUUAGGAAAAAUGUAAUAGUUUCAAUGAUAAUUAAUACAAUAAUAUAUUUAGAAAGGGCGGUUUGACAUAAGAUUACUUGUCAAUGAUAUGAUUUGCAUAAAAUAGUUCAUUAGGGAGUGGAAGUCAAAUCGAAGGCGACUGCAUGCAAUCGACGUUGGCUUACUAACCAAAUUACAUAUGAAUUAAGCGUUGACAAUUAAACUAAUUGUCUAAUCUCUUAAAUGGAUAAAACUACUAAUCAUUUUAAAUAUGUAAAAUUAAAUGCAAUGGUGGUUCAUGUAGUACUUUACAACAGAAGACAGUCAUGUUCCUGCUUUUCUAGUGCACCGCCAAAAGAUUUCACAAAUCUUUUCCAUGUGAUUUAUUAUUUUCUUUAGUUAUUACAAAUUUGCAGUCCUAUUAAUAUAAGUAUUUGCUUUGUAAAAUAGAAUUAAAUGUCAACUACCGCUUACUACCACUUUAAUUUUAUCAGUUUUUCAUCAACAUUUUGACCUCUCAAGUGUACAUUCAUUUGAUUCCCAAAAUGCUUCUCUUCUUUUUAAUUUCUUUAUACACUUCUUCUCCUACCAAUGUGAUAAUGUUACUCUUUUCGUGACUCAUGCUAUAUGUUGAAUAAUUAUUUUUAAAAUAAACCAAAGCAGAUUAGAUCAACUGUACCUUUCUGUUGGUUGAUAUUAAAAUUAUCUUAUUUGUGGUUGGAACAUAAGUAUCGGCAUUAUAAAAUGCAUUGUAAAUAGUUUGAAUUACAAUUUUAUAGAGAAAAUAGGUAAAAAGUCAAAUCAAACCAUGAUUUAAAACUAGUUAAUGACUUUUUUCGUUGAUAACACAGUAUUAUUCUCUAUAAAUUGAAAAUUUUAUUUUAUUAAUUUAUAAACCACUAAUUUUAUUGUUCUUUAUAAAUUAGUUUAUAAUUUAUAUGUAGCGAAAAAUCCUGAUGCAACCAAACUAAACCGGCUUUGAAUCCCGUUAGAAAACUAUAUAUAAGUGGUUUGUCAUUGUUUAACCGAAUCUUUUCACACUAACGAAGACCAUUUUAAACUAAUGUUCUAAAAUUUGGUCUAUGCAAUGUCCUGACAACAAAUUAGCCAUAGCCGAAAUAAUUUUCCUAAACUCCAAUUUAUAUAAUUCAAAUCAGUUUAAACCGUUUAAAGUUGAUCCAAAUCAAUCUAAAAUGGUUUAAAUUGAUAUAAAUCUGUUAAGUUAAAAAAUACUAUUAGUGAAAAUCUACAAAUGUAUCUAGUUUAUUUUUAUGUGUAUGUAAAUUUUAUAAUUCACCAAUAUUAUUUUAUAAUUAAGCCCAACAACUAAAAUAUCUAAUAAAAUGUAAAAAUAUAAAAAUUAAUCAAUAAUUUGUUAGUUCUUAAACCUCGAAUAAUAAUAUGUCUAUUUGCUAGUCUUCUACAAAUCGUCUAGCUAAGGCUUCUAGUUUUUUGAACACUGCUAAAUUGUUCAUUAUUUAUUGAUCUAUUGGUUCGGUUGAGGUAUAACAUAAGCAAAUAUCACUUGCUCUGCUUUGUUACUGUCCUCUAGACUGUUGAAACACCAUCAAUCAACUUUUUCCGAAAAAUAACAUUGGCAUUGUUGAACAUUCCUUCUUUCAGCGAAACCAUUAUAAACUGUUCAAUGCAGUCAGUUUUGAGACCAAGAUUGAAUCUUGAAUGGUAUGGAGACACUCACUGAGUGUUGUAUAGAGAAAUGACAAUUAUCUAAAGAAUCUGCCGAGGUCAAUCCCAUGGAGGUGAAUGUCUUGCUCUGCUUUGUAAUCAGUGUUCCAUAGUUAUGGUAUCAUGUAUUGAUGUCAAGGAGAUGGUUUCAUGAUGUAACUGAGACUAAGGAUUACUAGACUGUUAAACACAUGUAUAUGCUAAAACAAAGUUGUUUCUUAUGCUAACAUAUGUUGUCCCAGACUCCCAGUGAUAUGAGUAAUUUUGCUACAAAUACAACUUCAUUGCUUUUAUCAAAGAAAAUAAUCUAGAUGAAAAUAAAGACUUUGGUUUAAUCUCCUCAACUAAAAAAUAUAAGAAGUAUAGUUUCACUACAACAAAAUGUUGGUUUAAUCAAGUCAACGGGAGAGAUGUGUAGGCUUGAACCAAAGUGAAAGGGAUUAUAUUUUCCACUAACAGAAAAUAAAACAAAAUGAAAUCUAAGAGUCGGCGAUGGUGACCUCAACCUCAACACCAGGUUCAAUGGUGAUGGAAGAGAUUUGCUUGACCACAUCAGGAGAGCUGAAAAGAUCAAUCACUCAUUGGUUCCUGCUUAAAAAAACAAUAGUGAAGAGUUUAAGCAAUGUCAAGAACCUAAAGCAAUGAGCUUAUUCUCAUGUUCUAAUAUCUAAGUGUAAUAAACACAUGCAUAUAAAUAUACCUUCACCACAAGGAGCUUUACGGGUAGUGAUCUUAAGAACCUUGGUGGGCAUUCUCACUUGUCCCUUUGUUCUCAGUCUCUUGUCUUUAGCUCCACGUACCAAAUCAGCACACACUAAUAACACAUUUAGACCCAAAUCAUCCAUUUGUAAUCAAUUCUUUUUUUUUUUUUGUUCAACCCAUUUGUAAUCAAUUCAAAUAAAGCUACAAGCCUGACUUCGUUGGCUUCAUUGCAUAAGCCAUCUUUUCAACCUCUUCUUCUUCUUCUGCAAGUAACAGAAAGCUACAAGUUUAACUUGCUCCUAUUAGUGAAAAGUUAAAGCCUUAUUCACUGGAUUGUGAGGCCUAAUCACUACAAGAGUUUAGUUAGACCUAAACCUAAAGCAAUAAAGUUAUAGCCCACUUAACUGGGCCUAAGGCAGUGUACAUUAUAGAAACACAAAGUAAAGUUCAAGAAAUAAAAUACAUAUAUUAAAAAAUAUUUGAUUAUAAUUACUUUUCUAAUUAAAAUGAUUUUAAAAUAGUAUGUUUUUUGAAAAAUAGAAGAACGAACAACAACAAAUUUAAAAGACGAGCAAUAUUAUUACUACCGGGGACCCCCGCACACAUUAAUUAACCUCGGAAACUCCAACGGAGCCCAACGGCUACUUUCUCCAAACGGCUACUUCUCAGUUUGCAACGGCUCUCUGCUUUCAUAAUUUCCCUUUAUAAUCUGUGUGAGAGAGAGAGAGAACUUCAGUCCACAUCAAAGUAGCUACACAUACACAUACGGAGAACGUUGGCGACGGCUAGUGAAGUAAACGGCGAGUCUGAUGAGUGCAAGAAGCUUUUAAUUACUUCUUUGAGGAUGAAGACAAGAUGAUGAGGGAAUGAGAAGUCUGCUAGUGGGGAAAAGAUGCAACAGAGAGAUACCGCAACCAUCUUCCACGGAUGUUCGAUAUGCCAGACAGACAGUAUGAUCCGACAAAGAAUUUGUAGAGGGAGUGACUCAGAUUGUACAGAUGCUUGAAACAGAAAAAGAGUGAUGGAACUAUGUGUACGUGAUUAGCGUCUUUUGUUUGCUUAGUGUCUUGAGAAUGUUACUAAUUACGACGGAGAGAACAAAAAUAAAAAGAAUUAUCUGUUUUUAUCAGUCUCAUCUCGAAUAUUCUCUCUUGUGUCUGUCUUCUCAGUGUGUUGUGUUUUAUCAGUGUGUAAUUCCUUUGUUCCCAAACUUGUAGACUGUUUUCUCAAAUUGAUUUUGUUUAGAUUAUGCUUGUAUCCUUAUUUUGAUACUUGUGUUCUUGAGUUUCUUGAAAUAUGACGUUUUUUUGGUGUGUUUAA